rfam:Gossypium raimondii Chr06_contig_525, whole genome shotgun sequence.
UGUUAAAAUUCAUCCAUUUGUACUAAUAAAAAUUAACGUGAUUAAUGAAAUAACGAGACAGUAACACGUAACUAGCCACAUGUACCUUAUGUUAAUAUAUAAGAACCGGUUUUAAACAAUAUAAAUGAAUGAAAUUAUUAAUU